rnacentral:rRNA from 1 species
CCUACGGGUGGCAGCAGUGAGGAAUAUUGGUCAAUGGGCGCGAGCCUGAACCAGCCAAGUAGCGUGAAGGAUGACUGCCCUACGGGUUGUAAACUUCUUUUAUCAAGGAAUAACGUGAGGCACGUGUGCCUUUUUGUAUGUACUUUAUGAAUAAGGAUCGGCUAACUCCGUGCCAGCAGCCGCGGUAAGUCGGAGGGUCCGAGCGUUAUCCGGAUUUAUUGGGGUUAAAGGGAGCGUAGAUGGGUGUGCAAGUCUGUAGUGAAAGCCCGUGGCUCAACCCUUGAACUGCCGUUGAAACUGGAGUGCUUGAGUAGAGGAGAGGCAGGCGGAAUUCGUGGUGUAGCGGUGAAAUGCGUAGAUAUCACGAGGAACACCGGUUGCGAAGGCAGCCUACUGGACAGCAACUGACGUUGAGGCUCGAAAGCGUGGGGAGCAAACAGGAUUAGAUACCCGUGUAGUC